rnacentral:rRNA from 1 species
GAUGAACGCUAGCGGCAGGCUUAACACAUGCAAGUCGAGGGGCAGCGCGGGAUAGCAAUAUCCUGGCGGCGACCGGCGGAAGGGUGCGUAACGCGUGAGCGACAUGCCCGUUGCCCGGGGACAACCGGUGGAAACGCCGACUAAUCCCCGAUGGGAUAUUGUGCCGCAUGGCACGAUAUUGAAAGUUACGGCGGCGACGGAUUGGCUCGCGUCCGAUUAGCUUGUUGGCGGGGUAACGGCCCACUAAGGCUGCGAUCGGUAGGGGUUCUGAGAGGAAGGCCCCCCACAAUGGGACUGAGACACGGCCCAUACUCCUACGGGAGGCAGCAGUGAGGAAUAUUGGUCAAUGGGCGGAAGCCUGAACCAGCCAUGCCGCGUGCGGGAAGGAGGCCCUAUGGGCUGUGAACCGCUUUUGCCUGGGGGCAAUAAGGGCGUCGCGCACGUCCGAUGAGAGUACCAGGCGAAUAAGCAUCGGCUAACUCCGUG